UUCAGCAUCUCCUGCCAGUACAAGCUCAUCUACAACUGAGACUCAAACAGCAGCACCUAUAGCACUGCCUUCCAGUACAAGGUCUAUAACUGAGACUCAAACAGCAGAGCCUACAACCUCUGCCACAACAAACUCUCCAUCAACUGUAUCUUCAACAUCAGCUCCUUCAACAUCUCUUGCCAAAGCAAGCUUUUCUACAACUGCGACUCAAACAUCAGAACCUACAA